AUUAUCAAGUGUUCUGUCACAGUGCUGAGACACAUACUAGUGUGACAGGCGAGGCCCAGUAGCCAACACUGUAGAGUUUUGCUGCAGUAUGUUUUCUUCUGAACGUUAACAGCCAUUACAGAGCAGCUAUAUUACCCACAAGAGCCCCUCAACAAGAUCCAGCCUGUUGGUGUUUCCUCACAGAGGGGUGGGGUGGGGUGGGGAGGGUUGGUCCGCCCUCCCAGAGUUUCUAGCCAAUCACGCCUCACCUCGGUUGCCUCCCAGCUGGGUGUAAUUCUACCUCAGCCGAACAGUUAUCUUGGGAGGUACCAGAAAACGUAGAGCCUUAAGGCUAACCGAAGGCCUGGAUUCCAUGAUGUAUCUUCCAUGAGUCAUCAGCCAUGAUGGGGUGGUCCUUUUGCAGGGAUGCAGGUGUUUACGAGUCUCCUCUGAUCCUAAUCGUCGCUAUGAUCCGUCCUCUGUGCCCCAUCUGGAACGAGAAGACGUGUUCCCCAGGAAAAGUCUGUGUAAUAGGUGUACUCAACCUGACCUACAAUGCAGGGUCAUGAGUCACCAUAUGCCGAUGCUGAGGGAAGCCAUUCACACUGUCUUAGAUGAAAGCAACCAGAGAUGCCUGUGGAAAGAAUUAGUAUGUUUUAGAAAUGAGAGCUGAAAGCAACAGACAAGUAAGUCUGGGGCAUUGUGUUGAUGUUAAUCAAAGGAGAAGG